GGAAGUAAAAGUCGUAACAAGGUCUCCGUUGGUAAACCAGCGGAGGGAUCAUUA
rnacentral:rRNA from 1 species